CGGGACACGUGGUAUCCUGUCUGAAUAUGGGGGGACCAUCCUCCAAGGCUAAAUACUCCUGACUGACCGAUAGUGAACCAGUACCGUGAGGGAAAGGCGAAAAGAACCCCGGCGAGGGGAGUGAAAAAGAACCUGAAACCGUGUACGUACAAGCAGUGGGAGCACAGAGCAAUCUGUGUGACUGCGUACCUUUUGUAUAAUGGGUCAGCGACUUAUAUUCUGUAGCAAGGUUAACCGAAUAGGGGAGCCGAAGGGAAACCGAGUCUUAACUGGGCGUUAAGUUGCAGGGUAUAGACCCGAAACCCGGUGAUCUAGCCAUGGGCAGGUUGAAGGUUGGGUAACACUAACUGGAGGACCGAACCGACUAAUGUUGAAAAAUUAGCGGAUGACUUGUGGCUGGGGGUGAAAGGCCAAUCAAACCGGGAGAUAGCUGGUUCUCCCCGAAAGCU
rnacentral:rRNA from 1 species